GAAGGACUUACGAUAUUGUUCAAACUCUAUUAUAUGAUUCUAAAAUUUCUUAUAUAUUACAUUAUGAUUUUUCAAAUGAGGUAGUCUUUUAUCAAAUAUAUGUAAUUUUAUAAAAUUUAUUUAUUUUUUAUAUGACAAUUAUCCAUAUGACAUUGUUUAAAUAAAUGAUUUAAGAUUGUUAUGAAGGUUAUGUUAUAAAAGUUAUCAACGACGUAACUAAGAUGAUCUCAUAUUGUUAAAUUUUUACUUUGAAGUAUUAUACUAACUGCGUAUUUAAAAAUAAGAUUAUCUACAUUAUCUUGUAAACGUACAUGUAUAUAUAUGUGUCCAUGUAUGCACAGCAAUUAUUAGUGUUGUUUAGCUUUUAAUUGCAAGCAGUAGUGAUAUAACUUGUCAAAGAGAUGAAUGUAUUGUUGAAUAAAUUGAAUCAACAAUUAUUAAGAUUGGCAGGAAAAUUUUUUCAAACGGGACAUAUAUUAAUUGGAAAUUACCAUCAACAUGGAACCUUGACGGAACAUAUUCCUUUCUCAAAGGACUUUCUAUUUCAGCAGUUAUUCGAUCCGGUGUCCAGUACAUAUACAUAUUUACUUGCUGAUAUCAAUAAUAAAGAAGCUAUUUUAAUCGAUCCAGUCAUUGAAUGGGCCGAUCGAGAUAAAACAAUUAUCGAAGAACUCGGUUUGAAUUUGAAAUAUGUUGCGAAUACACAUAUGCACGCAGACCACAUUACAGGAACAGGCCGAUUAAAAUCGUUAUUACCAGGUUGUCGAUCGAUGAUCUCCCGCAAUAGUGGUGCCGAGGCCGACAUUCUCUUGGAGCCACGAGACCGCAUCAAAUUUGGUAGACAUUAUCUGGUGGUGAUACCCACACCUGGUCAUACUGAAGGAUGCGUGACGUAUGUGUGCGAUGAACAAGGAAUCGCUUUCACGGGCGAUGCCUUAUUAAUACGUGGAUGUGGAAGAACAGACUUUCAGAUUUUUUUAUUUGUUAGGGUGGCUCAUCAGAAAUAUUGUACAAGUCUGUACAUGAAAAUAUAUUUACCUUACCAUCACAUUACAGACUAUAUCCUGCACAUGAUUAUAAUGGUAGGACUGUAACUACUGUAGCUGAAGAAAAAAUAUUGAAUCCUAGAUUAUCUAAAUCAUUGAAUGAAUUUGUAAAUAUUAUGAAUAAUCUUAAUCUUCCAUAUCCAAAAAUGAUUGACAAAGCUGUACCAGCUAACAAAGUUUGUGGAGUCUUUGAAAUUAAUAAGAAGAAGGGAAAACAGUGAGAAAAUAACGAGAGAUCGUCAAAUUUCAUCAACUCUUUUCUCAUUAAAUAUGAGAUAAGAUUGUAUAUAUAUGUGUGUAAAUAUAUACAUACACACAUAUAUAUAUAUAUGUCUCUAUGCAAUGUACAGUUUCCAAGAUACUUAUAAACUUUCUCAAUUAAUAAUAGAUAUUUGCAAUUUAAUGUAUAAACAUUUGCAUAUAUUCGUAAAAAUCAUAGAUUUGUAACUAGUAUAAUAUUAUUUUUAUAUAUUUUAACAAAUAUAUAUAUAUAUAUCAAGUUAGCAUAAUGAUAAUAGUAGUAAUAAUGAGAUUAUUAUUUAAAUGUUUGAAUUUUUCUGAAAAAGCAAUAUAAAAAUCUGUUGAACUUAUUCUAAAUAAUUAAAUUAUAUAAUUAAAUAAAAAUAAUUUAAUUAUUA